rnacentral:rRNA from 1 species
GUUUUCCGCGUUGGACCGCACACAAGUCUGUUGGAAUACAGCGGCACAGUGGUGAGACCCCCGUAUACGGUGCGGAUGCCCAAUGCUUUGUGAUACACUUUCGAAGAGUCGAGUUGUUUGGGAAUGCAGCUCAAAUUGGGUGGUAAAUUCCAUCUAAAGCUAAAUAUUGGCGAGAGACCGAUAGCGAACAAGUACCGUGAGGGAAAGAUGAAAAGCACUUUGGAAAGAGAGUUAACAGUACGUGAAAUUGUUGGAAGGGAAACGCUUGAAGUCAGACUUGCUAUUCGGGUUUACUCGAGUUGCAGGCCAGCAUCAGUUUUCUGGGGUGGAAAAUCACGGUUUGAAGGUAGCAACUUCGGUUGUGUUAUAGCUUUCCGUUGGAUACAUCCUGGGGGACUGAGGAUCGCAGUGUGCUUUUAGCAGGAGCUUCGGCUUCAUCACACUUAGGAUGCUGGUGUAAUGGCUUUAAACGACCCGUCUUGAAACACG